GUCUACAGCCAUACCACCCUGAACACGCCCUGAUCUCAGAAGCUAAACAGGGUCGGGCCUGGUUAGUACUUGGAUGGGGGAAAAUUAUUAUAGAAC
ensembl:rRNA 5S_rRNA 5S ribosomal RNA